GGGGGUUGGAAUAUUGGCUUCACAAUGGGUUGAUCCCAUCUACAAGAUAGUAUCCCAUGGUGUAUUUGUGCUCAUUGGCUUCAAACUCCACAUUAGGCACUUCUUCUCUUGCCAACCUAGCAAAGAGUGGUGACCGGUGCAAUACAUUGAUGUCAUUGUAAGAACCAGGCAUCCCAAAGUAAGCAUGCCAUAUCCACAACUCUUGAUCAUGCAAUCCAUGGAACUGAGCAUACCUGGCUUCUGCCCGAGCCGACGCGGGGAGGCCGUCGGGGACCAAGUUCGGCCACCAGCAGGUCGACGUAGAGUUUUCAGGCAGCGUUGGUUCUCGUAGACAGCUGCGCCGGCCGAAUCGACACCUCGACGCCAGAGCGAGCUGGUGGCAAGCGGCAGACGGGGGUUCGGUAGGGGGCUCGCCAGCCCAAUUCACUGCGAGAUGAGCUCGGGAUGGGGCAGCGGAGGCACAGGGAGGUAGUGCAAGCGGCCGGACAUGGCCGGCGGCGUCGGCGAUAGAUUUGGUGGAGGAGGGCCGGCGUGGCGGUUAAUUUCUUGUGCGAGCUUUUUCUGGUUCAGGCAACUGGGGUGGGGUGGGGGGUUGUUCCCUGCAUUUGACGAAGAGGAUAGAGAAAAUAGAAAAUUUACUAAAUAGAAUUAGGGAUUCGGAUUGGGACAGGAACCUGCUGGAUAGGGAUUUUACCUCUUCUUAGGUAAUGGUGAUCGUUUUUAGAGGAUGGGACUUUUAGAAAACCUGCUGGAGAUGCCCUAAGCGUAGGGAACGACCCCCCGGCAGGGUGGGGGUGCAUUACCAUUCGGCUCCAAGUUGGCGAUGCACCCCUCGCAGCAGCCGAAC
rnacentral:lncRNA from 1 species